UCAACCUGGUUGAUCCUGCCAGUAGUUAUAUGCUUGUCUCAAAGAUUAAGCCAUGCAUGUCUAAGUAUAGUUAUAUACUGCGAAACUGCGUAUGGCUCAUUAUAUCAGUUAUAGUUUAUUUGAUGAUUACCUUACUACAUGGAUACCCGUAGUAAUUCUAGAGCUAAUACAUGCGCCCAAUCUUCUCGCAAGGG
rnacentral:rRNA from 1 species